rnacentral:tRNA from 1 species
UGAUUUGUAGUGUUAAAUAGCACGUUGGAACUUGAAUCCAAAAGCAUUAAAAUUUUAAUCAAAUCAA